AAACACUUCGCUGUAGUCCCAUAUACUACUAUGAUUUUGCUGUUCCUGUGUGUGUAUGUAAUGGAAAAAAUGCUUUUUCCGACAAAUCACCAUUGGCCUACUACUUUGUUUCAUCACUUCCUUGAAGUUGGCAUUAACUGCUUUGGUAUUUUUGUACCUAUGUAAUGUGUUCACAAACUGGAUGUUAUGACAAAUGUGAAACUAUUAAUGUGUUCUAUGACAAUUUCUGUGUCUGCUUAUUUGAUGGGUGAAAAUCAAGCCCAUACUGUAUUCUUGUGCCAUUCUUGCAUUUCUGCCAUAUUUCAAGCUAAUGAAGAAUGAAACUGAUUUCUGAAAAAAAGCUUUUUUUGACAAGCUUUGUUAAACUUUGUCUGACAAUGUUAUUUGCCAUUUGUAGCUUGAAGAGUGUAAGGGAUGUUAAGAUACAUUGUUCUGUCACUAUUUGUAAAAUUUUUGAAGAGUCUUUUUUACUACCUAUUUCUCUAUCAAAAAUCUUUUGAACAUUGAUUAAAGAACUCCAAAACUGAAAUUGUAUAAUUAUGGUGACAAACUCUUUGAAAGAGAGGAAAAUUGAUUCUAAGAAAGGAAAGUUUGGUUCUGAUAUGUUUGUUCUACUGUGUAUAUCUUUUACCGUAAAAGUGGUUAUUUAUAGUGGCGUAUAAGUUUAUGUUUUCUAUAGUCGAACAAUAUGCGUGGCUAUUAGAUAUGUUACCACUCUAAAAGUUUUAUUUUUACCAAAUUUGCGGGGCUAUUUUAAGCAAUAUUAAGCUUACUGCUUAACUAAUAUAAAUUUCACCCAUGUGUAAAUAACCACUUUAACAGUAUCCGAUUGUCUGCUUAGAAACCAAAAAUUACGACAGACAAAAGUACCGGUAUACCUAAAUAUUUUUUUUACAAUGGAUAAAUUUGUGUUGGCAAAAGAUAUGGCCUAUGGGCCUCUAUUCACUGUGUUCACUGGGUUUAAUAUGUUCAGGAAAGUUGUUAGAAGUAAAAGUUACAACUUUGUUUAACAUUCUUUCUGAAAACUAUUCUACAAUGUGAUAUUUGAAAACUGUUCAUAUUUGGUGCUAAAUUUCAAGACUACAUGUAAGUGUUCAGCUGCAAGGAUUGUUAUCAAAUUUAAUCAUGAUACUUGUGUGUAAAUUGAUAAAAGGGCAUUAUUAUUUUUAUGUUAACCAUGUAGAUUUGUCAAAUGUUUUGUUGGGAACAGUCGAUUUGCAUAAUUAUCUACCAGACUUUAAGUAUAUUUGAAUGCUUUGCAGUUUUUUAUGGAACUUAAAUGUUUAGUUGCACAUACUUAUGUGUAUUGAGAGAGAGAGAGAAAAAAAAUCAAUCUGUGAUAAUAACAAGUUUGUAUCAAAGAUGAUACAGUGUGUGCUUGGAGUCAACACCAGCAGCUAGUCAUUGUGCUGUUGUAUAUAGUGUAAAAGAUAGAAACUAUUCCUUACAUAUUUUGUUUCGUUCAAGCAGUAAGAAAUGUUAUCCACUGAACUACUAUUUGCUAUUCUUUUGUAAUUACAUACAGGAUGUAUGAAUUUGUUGUGAAUAUACUGCAAUUAAAUGAUGUUACCCC
rnacentral:sRNA from 1 species